rnacentral:rRNA from 1 species
UAGGGAAUCUUCGGCAAUGGACGAAAGUCUGACCGAGCAACGCCGCGUGAGUGAAGAAGGUUUUCGGAUCGUAAAACUCUGUUGUUAGAGAAGAACAAGGACGUUAGUAACUGAACGUCCCCUGACGGUAUCUAACCAGAAAGCCACGGCUAACUACGUGCCAGUAGCCGCGGUAAUACGUAGGUGGCAAGCGUUGUCCGGAUUUAUUGGGCGUAAAGCGAGCGCAGGCGGUUUCUUAAGUCUGAUGUGAAAGCCCCCGGCUCAACCGGGGAGGGUCAUUGGAAACUGGGAGACUUGAGUGCAGAAGAGGAGAGUGGAAUUCCAUGUGUAGCGGUGAAAUGCGUAGAUAUAUGGAGGAACACCAGUGGCGAAGGCGGCUCUCUGGUCUGUAACUGACGCUGAGGCUCGAAAGCGUGGGGAGCAAACAGG